rnacentral:rRNA from 1 species
AGUGAACGCUGGCGGUAGGCCUAACACAUGCAAGUCGAACGGCAGCACAGUAAGAGCUUGCUCUUACGGGUGGCGAGUGGCGGACGGGUGAGGAAUACAUCGGAAUCUACUUUUUCGUGGGGGAUAACGUAGGGAAACUUACGCUAAUACCGCAUACGACCUACGGGUGAAAGCAGGGGAUCUUCGGACCUUGCGCGAUUGAAUGAGCCGAUGUCGGAUUAGCUAGUUGGCGGGGUAAAGGCCCACCAAGGCGACGAUCCGUAGCUGGUCUGAGAGGAUGGUCGGCCACACUGGAACUGAGACACGGUCCAGACUCCUACGGGAGGCAGCAGUGGGGAAUAUUGGACAAUGGGCGCGAGCCUGAUCCAGCCAUACCGCGUGGGUGAAGAAGGCCUUCGGGUUGUAAAGCCCUUUUGCUGGGAAAGAAAAGCAGCAGGUUAAUACCCCGCUGUUCUGACGGUACCCAAAGAAUAAGCACCGGCUAACUUCGUG